CAGGGCUGCGUCGUGUACGACGCAGGUGCAGAAUCUGAGAGGGUGACAGGUAUAUUUACUAGCAAGUUCCAUAUGAGGUUAUAAAACCCUCAAAUUCAGAUACUCCCUUGGGGCCGAAUUGUUUGCCAGUACCUUCUAAGAAGCCGUCACACUCCGACAUUCUGUCUGAGAAGGAAAAACUCCUGAGUUUUAGCUGGGCAUGUGAUCACUUGGAAUAAGACUACAUUCUCAACUUCUUUGCAGGUGCUGCAAACAUUGGGACUGGCAGUUUGAUGUGCUGAGCCCUCAAGCAUGGGAC